GAUGAAGAACGCAGCAAAAUGCGAUAAGUAAUGUGAAUUGCAGAAUUCAGUGAAUCAUCGAAUCUUUGAACGCACAUUGCGCCCGCUGGUAUUCCGGCGGGCAUGCCUGUUCGAGCGUCAUUUCAACCCUCAAGCCCCCGGGUUUGGUGUUGGGGAUCGGCACAAGGACGCCCCCGGGCGACCCGCCGUCCCCUAAAUUCAGUGGCGGUCCCGCCGCAGCCACCUCUGCGUAGUAGUUUUCUCCUCGCAAGGGCAGCUCGACGACGACCACGCCGUAAAACCCCCAACUUCUGAAAGGUUGACCUCGAAUCAGGUAGGAAUACCCGCUGAACUUAAGCAUAUCAAUAAGCGGAGGA
rnacentral:misc_RNA from 1 species